UGCCAGCCGCCGCGGUAAUACGGGGGGUGCGAGCGUUAAUCGGAAUUACUGGGCGUAAAGGGUUCGUAGGCGGACUAACAAGUUGUGUGUAAAAUCCCUGGGCUUAACCUUGGGCGGCCACACAAAACUGUAGGUCUAGAGUACAGUAGAGGGUAGGGGAAUUUCUGGUGUAGCGGUGAAAUGCGUAGAUAUCGGAAGGAAUACCAGUGGCGAAGGCGCCUGCCUGGGCUGAGACUGACGCUGAGGAACGAAAGCGUGGGUAGCAAACAGGAUUAGAUA
rnacentral:rRNA from 1 species